UACUUGGGAAUGUGCCUUUACGUGGGGGAUAACUAUUGGAAACGAUAGCUAAUACCGCAUAAUGUCUACGGACCAAAGGGGGUUUCGGCCUCCCGCGUAAAGAGCAGCCCAAGCGAGAUUAGCUAGUUGGUGUGGUAAAGGCGCACCAAGGCGACGAUCUCUAGCUGUUCUGAGAGGAAGAUCAGCCACACUGGAACUGAGACACGGUCCAGACUCCUACGGGAGGCAGCAGUGGGGAAUAUUGCGCAAUGGGGGCAACCCUGACGCAGCCAUGCCGCGUGUGUGAAGAAGGCCCUAGGG
rnacentral:rRNA from 1 species